rnacentral:rRNA from 1 species
UACGAAGGGGGCGAGCGUUGUUCGGAAUUACUGGGCGUAAAGGGCGCGCAGGCGGCUCAGACAGUCAGAUGUGAAAGCCCCGGGCUCAACCUGGGAAUGGCAUUUGGGACUGCAAGGCUGGAGUGCGGCAGAGGAGACUGGAAUUCCUGGUGUAGCAGUGAAAUGCGUAGAUAUCAGGAGGAACACCGAUGGCGAAGGCAGGUCUCUGGGCUGACACUGACGCUCAUGCACGAAAGCGUGGGGAGCAAACAGG